UAAUCCCUGUGGUGUGCGUGAUGCCUUUUUGGUAUUGAUCCAACACCUUAAGCAAGGGGGCCGUUCUCGUGAGAGGCGGCAGGGGCCUUGAGUGUCCUCGUCUCCGGUAGGCGCCCACUUGACUCCAGAGGUUCACAUACUGAUAAGGCACACGGCACUAUGGGGGUUAC
rnacentral:other from 1 species